rnacentral:rRNA from 1 species
CCGGCACGGGUGAGUAACACGUAUCCAACCUGCCGUCUACUCUUGGACAGCCUUCUGAAAGGAAGAUUAAUACAAGAUGGCAUCAUGAGUCCGCAUGUUCACAUGAUUAAAGGUAUUCCGGUAGACGAUGGGAAUGCGUUCCAUUAGAUAGUAGGCGGGGUAACGGCCCACCUAGUCUUCGAUGGAUAGGGGUUCUGAGAGGAAGGUCCCCCACAUUGGAACUGAGACACGGUCCAA